rnacentral:rRNA from 1 species
AUCACCACCUCGUUCCCACGGGCCGAAUAUUCGCCCCAUAUGCGGAACCGGGUGAGACCUCCAAAACGAGCGGACCACGCGGAACCGGCUCUCUCCUUGCACUCCCCGGUCCUAUCGCCUCUCCUACCUGCUGCGCCGCCUCCCGCUCGUCUCUCACUCCCUCGAUCUGCGCCGCACCGCCCACCCCGAUUCAUUCCCUCACCGCCGGCCAACUCCUCUCUCGAUCUGCAGCGCUGCUCCACCUCCGGUCCCUGAUCUGGCCAUCCCAGGCUCAUCCCUCGUCUCCCUGUGGCGGGCCGAUUCCCUGGCUCGCGGCAGAUGGAUUUCUGGUGGCGCUCCUUAGCAGCAGCGCCCUGCGGCGGAUCAAUUCCCUCGCUGCUUGCGGCGGCGGCGGCGGCCGUGGAGGAGUAGAGCCGCAACCACGGAGCAGCAGCAGCAGCUGAGCCUGGCAGCGGAGCAGCAGCAACAGAGAGCAGCAUCGGCUAGUACAGAGACAAGUAUAGCAGCAGUAUGAGAAUUGCAGGAACUCAUGCCCAUGCCGCGGAUCACGGGAGGGCAGUUUCUUCCACUCCACGACGACACCAAGCGAUCUGCAUCGACCUCACGCCCCCUGCCAUGACUCCAUGAAGCGAAGGCCCUCAACGACUCGCUACACACGGACGUGACCUCGGCCAGACGGGUCUGCAAUGGCGCGACCACAUCCAGAUGACUCCAUGUGUUGUUCGGCCAGCAUGCACCGCUUCUGGCCCCACGUCACAGGCAUAGCCUCCAGGCUAUCGAGGCAUUUUUUUUUUGGAAAAAGGGUGACUCCCCGGCCUCUGCAUCAGAAAGAUACAUACGGCCUUAGGCUAUCGAGGCAUGCGUGAUGCACUAGGACUCCAUGCAAAUCAGGGACUUCGGCUGACGGGCUGAGCGGCGACACGCAAGCAAUACUGCCCAUCCACGCACAUCUUCAUCUUCAUCUUCACCGACAGAGGAACGACGAACAGGAGCUUCGUCAUCCACUGUUUUGGUUACCGGUCGAAAUUUCAAAAUUUUUCAUGGUUACCGUGUAUUUCCGUGCCCCUCGGUAAAUCGCCAUACCGAGCAAAAUUUUUGAAUUUAAACACUCGAUUUACUGUAAAGUAUGCUAGGAUCUAAUUAAUGACAUGAGAGUUGGUGGUCUCCUCACCAUCGACCACGACUACCUCGACCACGGCUACAUCACCAUGAUCGGCUACCUCGACAUUGACAUUAAUGGCUACAUCUACAGCAACAUAUCGGCAACAACUCCAGUCAACAUGAUCCACGUCGUCACCAACGUUCACGCCACUCCUGCUGUGUCUGCGGGAGGGAAGAGAGAGGAGAGACAAGGAAGGCACUAGAAGGGGAUGCAGCCACCGCCCUGGGUGCCGACCCAUCAAAGAUGCACGUAAUGAUGGUGAAGCGGAGAAGACGACGCGAGCAUGAUACUUCAAAUUCAAUCGUAAUCAUCCGCUUCACUCCCGCUACGACUGAGGGGGAAUGUUAGAAGUAUAAACGUAGAGAUAAGGAGAGAUAGAGAUAAACUUAGUUUAAAUACAUAAUAUCUUGCCUUGUACUCUAAACCUCUACCCCUCGUGUACUUCUAUAUAUACCUCAUACAAGGGUCAGUUCAAUACAACGUAACAUAAUAUUCAUCCAUCCUACAAUUUUCACAAUAGGAACC